ACUCCUACGGGAGGCAGCAGUGGGGAAUAUUGCACAAUGGGCGCAAGCCUGAUGCAGCCAUGCCGCGUGUGUGAAGAAGGCCUUCGGGUUGUAAAGCACUUUCAGUUGUGAGGAAGGUGGUGGUCGUUAAUAGCGGCAUCAUUUGAUCGUUAUGCAACAGAAGAAGCACCGGCUAACGUCCGUGCCCAGCAGCCGCGGUAAUACGGAGGGUGCGAUCGUUAAUCGGAAUUACUGGGCGUAAAGCGCAUGCAGGUGGUUUGUUAAGUCAGAUUGUGAAAGCCCGGGGCUCAACCUCGGAAACUGCAUUUGAAACUGGCAGACUAGAGUACUGUAGAGGGGGUAGAA
rnacentral:rRNA from 1 species